rnacentral:rRNA from 1 species
AGUAAUGUGUGUAGCUAACCGAUACUAAUAGCUCGAUUGAUUUACUUUGCUGUGAGAUUACAUAUGCAUAUAGUGUUAAUGCUAUAAGAGUGUAGUAUCAACUCACAAAGUUAUCAGGUUAAAUAGCUUUAUCAACUAAUAAAAAUGUUAUUGCAUAACUAAUGUUAUACUGUAGCCCCGCCACGAUAUCCAGCGAAAAUUAUUUUGCUGAGUAUCGUAGUAAAAGUUAAGAUAUGAUGUUAAGAAUUUUUUUGAGUCGUGCAAUAACAUUAACAGCAAA